rnacentral:rRNA from 1 species
ACGAACGCUGGCGGCGUGCUUAACACCUGCAAGUCGAACGGAAAGGCCCUGCUUUUGUGGGGUGCUCGAGUGGCGAACGGGUGAGUAACACGUGAGUAACCUGCCCUUGACUUUGGGAUAACUUCAGGAAACUGGGGCUAAUACCGGAUAGGAGCUCCUGCUGCAUGGUGGGGGUUGGAAAGUUUCGGCGGUUGGGGAUGGACUCGCGGCUUAUCAGCUUGUUGGUGGGGUAGUGGCUUACCAAGGCUUUGACGGGUAGCCGGCCUGAGAGGGUGACCGGCCACAUUGGGACUGAGAUACGGCCCAGACUCCUACGGGAGGCAGCAGUGGGGAAUAUUGCACAAUGGGCGGAAGCCUGAUGCAGCAACGCCGCGUGCGGGAGGACGGCCUUCGGGUUGUAAACCGCUUUCGCCUGUGACGAAGCGUGAGUGACGGUAAUGGGGAAAGAAGCACCGGCUAACUACGU